CUGAAAGCAUCUAAGCACGAAACUUGCCCCGAGAUGAGUUCUCCCUGAGACUUWRAGUCUCCUGAAGGAACGUUGAAGACGACGACGUUGAUAGGCCGGGUGUGUAAGCGCAGCGAUGCGUUGAGCUAACCGGUACUAAUGAACCGUGAGGCUUAACCUU
rnacentral:rRNA from 1 species